rnacentral:rRNA from 1 species
UACAGAGGUGGCAAGCGUUGUUCGGAAUUACUGGGCGUAAAGGGCGCGUAGGCGGUUUUGUAAGUCAGACGUGAAAUCCCCAGGCUUAACUGGGGAACUGCGUCUGAGACUGGAUGGCUCGAGUGCAGGAGAGGAACGCGGAAUUCCAGGUGUAGCGGUGAAAUGCGUAGAUAUCUGGAGGAACACCGGUGGCGAAGGCGGCGUUCUGGACUGCAACUGACACUGAGGAACGAAAGCCAGGGGAGCAAACGGG